AGAAGGGAACGCUUAUACACUGUUGGUGAACUGUCACCCCUACAACUCAGCUUGCAACCAGCCCUGGCCACCACCAGUUUCCCCACACUGAGCUGAAUAUUGGACAUGCCCAUCUUAGACAUUCCAGCCCAUUCUGAAAUUUCACAUCGAUUCACCCGACAAAGUCUGAAGUUCCAGGGCAAUUUAUCUGGAAAAGCUCACCUGGAAUCAUGUGUCAUUUCAACCAACAACUGUUGAAGAGGACGUGGCAUUAAAACCAAGUAUUGGAGACCAGGAAUCUGAGAUCAAGGUGUGGGCAGGGGGGCACUCCCCCUGGAGGUUCUAGGAGAGGUUCCUUCCUGCCUCUUCCAGCUCCUGGUGGCUCCAGGUGUACCUGGGCUUGUGGCCACAUCACUACAUUCUCUGCCUCCAUCUCCACGUGACCUUUUCCUCUGUGUCUGUGUCUCCUCUUCUGUCUCUUAGAAGGACACUGGUCAUUGGAUUUAAAGGCCACCUGGGUAAUUUAGAGUGUUCUAAUCUCAAGAAUCUUACCUUAAUUACAUGCAAAUACUCUUUAUCCGAAUUAGUUUGCAUUCACAAAUUCUGGAGCCUAGUACUUGGACAUAUAUUUUGGGGGAUUGGUGGUUGGAGGGGCUUUUAUUCAACUCAGUACAUCUUAAUAAGGAAUUAAUGCCCCCCAACUUGCCUUACAAGUCAUAUAUUAAAAACAGUGUUGGCCUGGCGCAGUGGCUCAUGCCUGUAAUCUCAACACUUUGGGAAGCCAAGGCAGGAGGAUCACUUGAGCCCAGGAGUUGGAGACCAGCCUGGAUAACAUAGGGAGACCCAGUUUCUACAAAAUAUUUAAAAAUUAGCCAGGCAUGAUGGUGCAUGCCUGUGGUCCUAGCUAUUCAGGAAACUGAGGUGGGAGGAUCACUUGAGUCUGGAAGUUCAAGACGGCAGUGAGCUAUGCUCACACCACUGCACUCCAUCCUGGGCAACAGAGCUGGACUCUGUCUCAAAAAACUUAAGACUAAAACAUCCAAAUUUAAAAAAAAAAAAAACAAUGAAAGUAGCCUCAACUUACAAACUAAUUACUCUUUCUUGAAAAUAUUACACUUUUUUUCUUCUAUAUCUCUACUCCUGGCUCUCAACACCUUUCUUAAGCCCACAUCAUAACCUGUCUUGCAUAACUUUGUGAGUGCCCAACUUUUCACUGUACUAGAUUGUAGAGCUGCAUGCUUCUUAAGAAUAAAUCCACACUUUAGGUACCAGUAAAUCCAUGCAAUGCCUCAGACAUUAUAACCAAAUAAUGCCUGGCAAAUUGACAUGAAUUUAUGUGAAGCAUAAGCCUUUAAUUUUUUUAAAGAAAAGUAGAUUGCUGUUUUUCCACAUCAUUUCAGAGUUGUUCUCUAGUUUUGCAUGCCCUUUACUGCAGAACCAUACGGAUUUUGUUCUCCAUUUCAUACAUCAUUUGUUGAAAUGCCCUUUAAAAUGUAAUGGAAUAUAGAGCUUUAUGGGAAAAAAUACUGUAGAAAAUAAAUUAUCUUCUCUCUUUGUAUUGGGAACCAAAAGGUCUCACCUUAUUAAUGACCACAGAGACUCUCCUAAAGCAAUUCUGGAAGUCAAAACAGCUGGAGUCUAGUUUAAUGGGAACCCUCAUUAAUUAGACAAGAACACCAAGGCUAUGACCACAGCAGCUGGUAGCAGCAGCCCUGCAGUGAAGUAGACUCUCAGAGGACACAAGGAAAGAGUGUAUUGAUAAGAAAUCUACAGCAAAGGUGUAGCACAUCAUCAUUUGAUCUUGAUACACUUGACUGUGGGCAAAGUACCUGUUAUGUAAAACAUGCUUUGUUAGUUAGGGCCAUGAUAAGCUGCUUAAGCUGGUGAAUGAACACCGAAUGUCAGUGGUUUUUUUGUUUUGUUUUGUUUUUGAGACAGAGUCUCACUCUGUCACCCAGGCUGGAGUGCACUGGGGUGAUCUCAGCUCACCGCAAGCUCCGCCUCCCAGGUUCACGCCCUUCUCCUGCCUCAGCCUCCCGAGUAGCUGGGACUACAGGCGCCCGCCACCAUGCCCAGCUAAUUUUUUUGUAUUUUUAGUAGAGACGAGGUUUUAUCAUGUUAGCCAGGAUGCUCUCAAUCUCCUGACCUCAUGAUCCUCCCAUCUCGGCCUUCCAAAGUGCUGGGAUUACAGGUGUGAGCCACCGUACCCAGCCUGUAUUUUUUUUUUUUUUAAACAAAUACCUGGUGUUAAGCCCAAAGUGUGUGUUUCUGGUUGGCUGGUGAUGCUCUUUCAAGUCCUGAAUCAGGGACCCAAUAACUUUCAACAUUGUGGCUCAGCUCUCUUCAACAGCUGCCUCCAAGUUCUCUUGAGAUAUUGGUAUUUAUCAGAGGAGAGGGGAUAGAGAAGGUAUAUGCCUUUGCUAGAGCUGCCAUAACAAGGGACUGUAGACUGAGGGGCUUAAACAACAGAAAUUUAUUUCCCUGCAAUCCUGGAGGUUGGAAGUCUGAGAUCAAGGUGUGGGCAGGGCUGGUUCCUCCUGAGGCCUCUCUCCUUGGCUUGUAGACUCUGUGUUCUCCCUUUGUCCUCACACAGUCGUCUCUCUGUGUGUGCCUGUGUCCUCAUCUCUUCUUAUGAGGUGUCUUAGUCCAUUUCAAGCUGCUAUAACAGAAUACCAUAGACUACAGGGCUUAAACAACAGACAUUUAUUCUCCCAUUGUCCUGGAGGCUAUCUAUCUACCUAUGUAUCAUCUAUCUACCCAUCUAUCUAUCAUCUGUGUAUAAUCUACCUAUUAUCUAUCUAUCUACUUAUCAUCUACCUAUCAUCUAUCUAUUUCUCUAUCUAUCACCUAUCUACCAUCUAUGUAUCUACCUAUCACCUAGCCAUCUGUCAUCUAUCUAUCAUCUAUCACCUAUCAUCUGUCUCACCUAUCAUUUAUCUAUGUAUUUAUGUAUCAUCAUCACCCAGCUAUGAUCUAUCUAUCAUGUAUGAUGUAUCUAUCAUCUAUGUAUCUACCUAUCUGUUAUUUUGGUCAAAUAUACAUAAUAUAAAACUCACCAUUUUAACCAUU